UCGAACGCACUCUCGUUAGAUUGAAGAAGCUUGCUUCUGAUUGAUAACAUUUGAGUGAGUGGCGGACGGGUGAGUAACACGUGGGUAACCUGCCCUAAAGUGGGGGAUAACAUUUGGAAACAGAUGCUAAUACCGCAUAAAACCUAGCACCGCAUGGUGCAAGGUUGAAAGAUGGUUUCGGCUAUCACUUUAGGAUGGACCCGCGGUGCAUUAGUUAGUUGGUGAGGUAAAGGCUCACCAAGACCGUGAUGCAUAGCCGACCUGAGAGGGUAAUCGGCCACACUGGGACUGAGACACGGCCCAGACUCCUACGGGAGGCAGCAGUAGGGAAUCUUCCACAAUGGACGAAAGUCUGAUGGAGCAACGCCGCGUGAGUGAAGAAGGUUUUCGGAUCGUAAAACUCUGUUGUUGGAGAAGAACGUAUUUGAUAGUAACUGAUCAGGUAGUGACGGUAUCCAACCAGAAAGCCACGGCUAACUACGUGCCAGCAGCCGCGGUAAUACGUAGGUGGCAAGCGUUGUCCGGAUUUAUUGGGCGUAAAGCGAGCGCAGGCGGUUUCUUAAGUCUGAUGUGAAAGCCUUCGGCUCAACCGAAGAAGUGCAUCGGAAACUGGGAAACUUGAGUGCAGAAGAGGACAGUGGAACUCCAUGUGUAGCGGUGAAAUGCGUAGAUAUAUGGAAGAACACCAGUGGCGAAGGCGGCUGUCUGGUCUGUAACUGACGCUGAGGCUCGAAAGCAUGGGUAGCAAACAGGAUUAGAUACCCUGGUAGUCCAUGCCGUAAACGAUGAGUGCUAGGUGUUGGAGGGUUUCCGCCCUUCAGUGCCGCAGCUAACGCAUUAA
rnacentral:rRNA from 1 species